GACGAACGCUGGCGGCGUGCUUAACACAUGCAAGUCGAACGGAAAGGCCUUUUCGGAGGUACUCGAGUGGCGAACGGGUGAGUAACACGUGGGUGAUCUGCCCUGCACUCUGGGAUAAGCCUGGGAAACUGGGUCUAAUACCGGAUAGGACCGCACUUUAGUGUGUGUGGUGGAAAGUUUUUUCGGUGUAGGAUGAGCCCGCGGCCUAUCAGCUUGUUGGUGGGGUAAUGGCUUACCAAGGCGGCGACGGGUAGCCGGACUGAGAGGUUGGUCGGCCACAUUGGGACUGAGAUACGGCCCAGACUCCUACGGGAGGCAGCAGUGGGGAAUAUUGCACAAUGGGCGCAAGCCUGAUGCAGCGACGCCGCGUGGGGGAUGACGGCCUUCGGGUUGUAAACUCCUUUCGCCAGGGACGAAGCGUUUUGUGACGGUACCUGGAGAAGAAGCACCGGCUAACUACGUG
rnacentral:rRNA from 1 species